rnacentral:rRNA from 1 species
GAUGAACGCUAGCGGGAGGCCUAACACAUGCAAGCCGAGCGGUAUUGUUUCUUCGGAAAUGAGAGAGCGGCGUACGGGUGCGUAACACGUGUGCAACCUGCCUUUAUCUGGGGGAUAGCCUUUCGAAAGGAAGAUUAAUACUCCAUAAUAUAUUGAACGGCAUCGUUUAAUAUUGAAAGCUCCGGCGGAUAGAGAUGGGCACGCGCAAGAUUAGCUAGUUGGUGAGGUAACGGCUCACCAAGGCGAUGAUCCUUAGGGGGUCUGAGAGGGUGAUCCCCCACACUGGUACUGAGACACGGACCAGACUCCUAUGGGAGGCAGCAGUGAGGAGUAUUGGUCAAUGGGUGCAAGCCUGAACCAGCCAUCCCGCGUGAAGGACGACUGCCCUAUGGGUUGUAAACUUCUUUUGUAUAGGGAUAAACCUACCCUCGUGAGGGUAGCUGAAGGUACUAUACGAAUAAGCACCGGCUAACUCCGUGCCAGCCGCCGCCGUAA